UCCUACGGGAGGCAGCAGUGGGGAAUAUUGCACAAUGGGGGAAACCCUGAUGCAGCGACGCAGCGUGCGGGAUGACGGCCUUCGGGUUGUAAACCGCUUUCAGCAGGGAAGAAGCGCAAGUGACGGUACCUGCAGAAGAAGUACCGGCUAACUACGUGCCAGCAGCCGCGGUAAUACGUAGGGUACGAGCGUUGUCCGGAAUUAUUGGGCGUAAAGAGCUCGUAGGUGGUUGGUCACGUCUGCUGUGGAAACGCAACGCUUAACGUUGCGCGUGCAGUGGGUACGGGCUGACUAGAGUGCAGUAGGGGAGUCUGGAAUUCCUGGUGUAGCGGUGAAAUGCGCAGAUAUCAGGAGGAACACCGGUGGCGAAGGCGGGACUCUGGGCUGUAACUGACACUGAGGAGCGAAAGCAUGGGGAGCGAACAGGAUUAGAUACCCUGGUAGUCCAUGCCGUAAACGUUGGGCACUAGGUGUGGGGGGCAUUCCACGUUCUCCGCGCCGUAGCUAACGCAUUAAGUGCCCCGCCUGGGGAGUACGGUCGCAAGGCUAAAACUCAAAGGAAUUGACGGGGGCCCGCACAAGCGGCGGAGCAUGCGGAUUAAUUCGAUGCAACGCGAAGAACCUUACCAAGGCUUGACAUACACC
rnacentral:rRNA from 1 species